ensembl:lncRNA
AUGUCAGAAUCUGUUCUGGAUGAUUCAACUGACAACUUUGAAAUCUCAGGGACAAUUGAACCACCUGUACAAAAUGUGAAAACUUGUGAGUUACUUGUGAAAAGUUCUGAAGGAUUCGAAAUGCCUUUAUUCACAUCCCAUCAAACCUCUGAUGGUAGAUGCAAGACUGCAGUGAGCAGUGGAGAACAAAAAAAAGUAAAGCAAGCACUAUAUUGUCAGUUUUGUGAGAAGGCAUGUAGAAAGAUAGAACUGCACCUGAAGUGUGUUCACGCAAAAGAACCUGAAGUGGUAAAAGCUUUAAAUCUUGACACAGACUGUAAAGAAAGGAAACCGUUAUUGAGCAGUUUUGCUAUUAAAAAGAACUUCAACCAACCUAGAGAUUCUCGAAUCGAUUGUGAUGAAGAUGUUCACUGCAUUUUUUGCCAUGAGUCUUUUGGAUGGAACAGAUUUCGGGAGCAUGCUCUUAUAUGUAAGCAUAACAUGAAUCCAGCUGCAUCCAGCAAAACUCAGGAAAUGUUUCAUGCAGAAUUGGAAAAUCUUGCUCCAGACACUAUCAGCAUCUCCAGACCUUUAGAGCCACCUAAUGCUCCUGUGUCAAAUCUCUCAGAUUUACGUGAUCGCCCUAUACCAGAAACUAGGAUAUGUGAGGCGAAGGAGAACCAUACUUUAGUGUCAGAUCAUUCCCAAAUUCUAUGCACUAGUGACAGCCCAGCACAGAAGGUUUGUGAUCCGAAAUCCUCAAGCCCUCCUCAUCUUGACUCUUGCCAGGGUGCGGCUCCAAAAACCUAUUAUCCAGAAGUGAAGGGGCCAACUGUUUCUAACAUUGACAGCAUUAUAGCUCAAAUUGAUCUUGAUGCACAAUUAUUAAAGCCAUCUGGUCUAGAUUCUUGCCAAUGUUCUGCAAUAAAUCCUCCUUAUUUGGAAUCUUCAUUCAGUACAUCACGGAACCCUGAUGUGGAGAUACUUGAACCUCCCAUACUAGAUUCCUGUCAAUCAAUACGAGUCGUAGAAUCUACAGUUCAAACCCUUCCUUUUUCAAACACUGGUUGCAAUGUUCUUCAGCUGUCCCUUAUAAAACAAUCAGAUCAUCUCAGACUUGUGAACCAACCAUUUUCUUCAGAUCCAGAGGUGUCUUGUGAUUUAGAACCUGAUGGUUAUUCUUCUUGUGAUACUGGGUGUUGUGACAGCCUUCAGCUUUCUUCAAAACCAAAGGUUGCUUCACGUCCUGCACCCUUAAACUCUUCUUCAGAAUGCAAUGCAGAUUCAAAGUGUACUCUUAAGCUAGCUGUGUUUGAUGAUACGUAUUUGGGCACUAAUGAGACAGAGCAAACCCAAGAUUCAGCUGUAGAAAGGAACAUCUUCACGGUCUCAGGCAGCUCUGAUGUGCAUCUAAAACCUGAAAGUCACCAUACUCCAGAUCCUAAUAGCUAUAACGUUGAACAAACCCAGUGUCAGCAGCCUGAAAGUAUUGAAAAUCCAGAUGCUGGCAGGAGUGGGAAUCAGCCAACAGCUGAUCUAGAAUUAAAGUCAGUUCCUUCUAUUCAAGAAAUCAAAUCCAGAGCCGUAGGACACAUGUCUUACCUUAAAUUCCAAGAGUGUGAUCUUCAACAAGACCCUGAGAAGAUCACUGAUGAGAAUGGCAUUGAUUGUGCUGUUGAAGUUCAACAUGACUCAAGCAUAUCAGUGACAAGCAAGCAAAAGAGAAAAAGAGUCUACCAGAUUAGCCGUCUGAAAGAGGAGUCAAAGAAAAGUUGUCAAAGUUCUCAUUCUCAGGGUCCUGGAUGCCAAACCAAUUCCACUGAUGACAACUCCAGCGUAUUCAAGAUACAUCACUGCUUUUACUGCAAGCAGCCACAUUAUAGAAUGAUGGAUCAUCUUCAGUCAGUUCAUGCUAAUGAACCAGAGGUGGCAAAAGCUCUUACCUUUGACAAGAGCUCAGAAGAAAGGAAACAACUUUUGAACCAUCUACAAACUAGGGGAAAUGUUCUACACAACACAAAUGUGGUUCAAAGUAGUAAACAAGGUUUAAAACCAUUUGGGAAGUUUGCAUCGGAGUGCUCAUUUGAUGAUAGUGUUUAUUGCAUCUACUGUUUAGGGUUAUUUAACAAGAAGUCUUUUGCUUCACAUUUAGAGCAGUGCAAGGGCAAAUCAACUCAAAGUGCUGAGGCUAGCUGUGGUGAAAUGCUUCCUGAUGCUGGGCCCAUUCCUCCAGCUCCUACACUUAUUUCCCCCUCUAGUCCAGAAGAGAUUGAUGCCAAUAUAGAACCAUCAGGUUUUCAUUGCCUAAAUACCAUCUAUGAAACAGAUUUUGAAAAUGAACAAGGAAGUACUUCCCUUCCAGACCUCAGCUGCAAUGUAGAGCAACCAGACAUCUCAAGUCCAAAUGAGGAGGUUAGAAACAAUAGACAGGCAGUGGGUGCCUUUUUACAAUUCAGACGUUCUCCUGAAAAUGAAGUAGGUUACGAAUUGAAGUCGGGUAAUUCUCCCAAUCCAAGCACUGGUCAAGAAUCAACAGACUGUAAGAAUGAAGGAGUAAGUCUCCCAAAGUGUGAUGUUGAUCAAGAAAGGGCAAUGACACCAACAUCAGACACCAGCUCCAUCAGUCCUCACCCAGAAUAUGAUGUUCUCAGAAAUCCAUGUGAUGAUUUCAGUCCACCUCAAAAUGCCCAAACUGUGUCUAAUGACACACACAAGAGUAGCGUGAAAGCCCAAACUUAUGGAACAGGGAUGAAGAGGAGGAAGUGGUGCUCACGUGUCCAUAAUCAGGUAAAUAUAAUUGUUAAAUGACACAUUCUGAACUUUGUUCUUCACUCUCUGUUAGUAGAUUCUUUCCAUUAAAAGAUACUUUGAACCUCUAUAUAGUUUGAGUAAUACGGGUUAUGUUAACACGUGAGCAGAACUGAUCCAGUAUACAGCCAGUAUUUUCAAUGAACAAAGAAUAAACUGGUGUUUUCUCCUUUCAUUUGUAGUCACUGAUCAUGGAUGAUGACAUAUUGUAGAGAAAUGCUUUGUUCUUAUAAGACAGGGAUCCUCAAACCUGGAGGUCCAAUGCGCUGCAGAGUUUAGCUCUAACCCUAAUCAAACACACCUGAGCAUGCUAAUCAAUGUCUUCAGGAUCAUUAGAAAAUCACAGGUAGCUGAGUUUGAUCAGGGUUGGAGCUAAACUCUGCAGCGCAUUGGACCUCGAGGGUAAGAUUUGAGGAACCCUGUUAUAAGAGAAUGGAAUUGACAUUCUUGUUUUAUUGACAGCCAUCAACAAAGAGUCCUGAGGAUUUACCAAAUGCUGUUACAGAUGACACAGGGGGAAAAGUUUCAGCCACAAAGCAAGGUAAAGUUACUGCUGGUCAUGCAACCCUAAAAAGCAUCAAAAGACACAAUAAGUAUUCUUAUCUGUCCAUUAAAGCUUGUAACUUUUUUUAACUGAAGAUGCUUUUGUUUUAGACACAUAGGUGAGAGAGUUCCACUUUGAAGAAGCAGGACAGCAAAGUCAAAGACUAUGACACGGAUUGCGAGAAGUUAUUGUUUACAUCUUAGUGUUAUGUUUUUUCAAAACAUAUUUAUUUGUUUUUUAAAAUAUGUUUUACAAUGUUGUCUCAAUCUAAUGGGUUCCAUACUUUUCCGGUAUGAUUAAUUUCAGCCUGCUGUAUUGUACAGAUCUUAGCAUAUGUUUAAUAAAUAACUCCAGAUUGAGAAUAAAAAAAAGUUAGAGGAAUCUAAGGAUAUAUUGGUCUUUUUUUUGGUAUCUGAUAUGUGACUUAAGGCAGUUUUCAGUUACUCAUUCCAAAGCUGAGACACUAGACAUAACAGCCGUUACUCCAGUCUUCAGAGUCACAUGAUCCUUCAGACAUUAUUCUAAUUUGCUGAUUUGGUGCUCAAGAAACAUUUCAUAUCAAUGUUGAAAACAGUUGUGCUGCCUAAUGUUUGUGUAAAUCAUGAUACUUUUUUUGAAGAUUCUUUUAUGAAUAGAAAAUAUAAAAAACAAACAACAGCAU